UCACCCUCCUUCUCCACACACACAAACACCUCCACACCUGACCUGCCCUCGACACACUCCCGAUUUAGCGCCCAAACACAUACCCAUACCGCCUCGCCCUCCCUCUCUCUGCUUGUGUUUUGCGCCUUCCUUGUACGUCUUUUCUAGUACCUUUUCUUAUUGUUAUAUACUUGAGAGAGAACACCUGACAUUGCGCCUUCUCCCGCCGCCCUCGUCCACGCACAGCCUCCCAUUAGGAAUACGCGCUCGAGUCGCUGACGUCCUCAUUGUCCUUCUUGCGGCCUUCCCUUGCUUGCUGUUCCGAUCCGCGCGAAAUGUUCCGCCGUGUUUCGGCUGCUUCGGCGAGCUCGCUCGUCGCCGCACGCUCCUUCUCCAGCACCAACGUCUACCUGGACAAGCGCAUCAAGGUAAAGAAUGAGGUGGUAGACAUGGACGGCGACGAGAUGACGCGCAUUAUCUGGUCAUUCAUCAAGGAAAAGCUGAUCCUGCCCUACGUGGAUGUCCCGAUCAACUACUUUGACCUCAGCGUGACUAACCGUGACGCGACGAACGACAAGGUCACGGUUGAAGCCGCCGAAGCGAUCAAGAAGUGCAACGUUGGCAUCAAGUGCGCCACCAUCACCCCCGAUGAGGCCCGCGUGAAGGAGUUCAACCUGAAGAAGAUGUGGAAGAGCCCAAACGGCACCAUCCGGAACAUCCUUGGCGGCACGGUGUUCCGUGAGCCGAUCAUCGUCUCCAACAUCCCACGUAUCGUCCCUCAGUGGCACAAUCCCAUCGUGGUCGGCCGCCACGCCUUCGGCGACCAGUACAAGGCGACGGAUGCUGUUUUGAAGCCCGGCAAGCUGCAGCUCGUGCACACACCCGCCGACGGCAGCGCGCCGACAACGCUGGAUGUAUACGACUUCAAGGGCGAGGGUGUCGGGCUGGCCAUGUACAACACGAAGGAGAGCAUUGAGGGCUUUGCGAAGAGCUGCUUCCAGUACGCGUUGAUGCGCAAGUACCCACUGGUUUUGACGACGAAGAACACCAUCCUGAAGAAGUACGAUGGCAUGUUCCUGCAGACCUUCCAGCGCAUGUAUGACGAGCAGUACAAGGCCGACUUCGAGAAGGCCGGCAUCACGUACAACCACCGCCUCAUCGAUGACCAGGUGGCGCAGAUGAUCAAGGGCGAGGGCGGCUUCGUGUGGGCGUGCAAGAACUACGAUGGCGACGUGCAGAGCGACAUCGUGGCGCAAGGCUUCGGCUCGCUGGGCCUCAUGACAUCUGUGCUGAUGUGCCCGGAUGGCAAGACAAUCGAGGCCGAGGCCGCCCACGGCACGGUGACGCGUCACUACCGCCAGCAUCAGCAGGGCAAGGAGACGAGCACGAACUCCGUCGCCUCCAUCUACGCCUGGACGCGCGGUCUCGCCCAUCGUGGCAAGCUUGACGGCAACAGCGACCUCGUCAAGUUCUCGGAGACGCUGGAGAGGGUGGUCGUCAAGGCGAUUGAGGAUGGCCACAUGACGAAGGACCUGGCCCUCUGCGUCUACGGCUCCAGCGGCGUCAAGCGUGAACAUUACGAGACGACGGAGCAGUUCCUCGACAGCGUCGAUGCAGCCCUGAAGAAGGCGAUGAGCGCGUAAAGAGGCGGCACAGUGACGGACGAAAGCGCUAGCAAGGAGACCCUGCGGACGUGAGGAAAUACGUGUGCGGGGAGGCGCGCUUGCCAGCGCCGCGCUGUUCCGUCGGCGCAUGUCUUCUCCUGUGCGUGUGCCUGCAUUUUGGUGUGUGUCUCGUAGCAUUCAGGACGGCUGCGGCCACCUUCUCGUCCGCCCCUGUGCCGGUAUGGUGUGCGCCUGUGCGCUUCGCAGGCGCCGAAAACGGUGCGUGUGGCUAGCCCCGCUCUUUCAAGCUCGCCCUCGCCGUCUGUGCCUUCUCCGCGGCACCAGCACCGCCACCGUCACCUGUGGUAUGGCCAUCAACGUCCGUUUUCCGUGCCCUAACGCCGUUCUCCGCUGCUGGCUCGUGGACACAUCCCGCAAGCAGUCAGAGACAGCGGGACAGUGGCUGUAAGCGGAGAGCGAGAGGCGGUAGCGGCGGGAGUCGAGGAGGCGGGAGCUGACUAGCUUCAAGCCGUAGGCGGUGCCAGAUGAGGAUCCUGCCGAUGAGGUGUGGGCCCGCCCCUCACCAUUGAGGUCACCAUCAACUAUACAGCACACCAAAGAAAAGAGCGACGUGGCCGUCGCAGCGAAGGCAACGACGAAGAACAGCUGCGCCUAGUGUGUAUAUAUAAGCUAUCUAUAUCUUUCCCACUAACGUAUUUUCCAUUGAAGUAUUGACGUUUCCCGUUGCUUGCGUGUGUGUGCGGAUGAGAUGUAUGCGAACGGCGCACCUCAAUGCUGGUAACAGUUUGUCGGCGGCGGCGCGGGGAGGGUGGUGGGGAGUGGCCAGCACCCCAUGAAUUCGUGGCGCUCCCUCUUGUGUGUUUCAAAUCUCCGCCGGCGAGGACGUGAGAAAGCCGAGAUCGCUCAUACACGCUGCGGAGCUUUUUUUUACAGACUGAGCAAGUGGCCGCCGUCCAG
rnacentral:misc_RNA from 1 species